UACGAAGGGUGCAAGCGUUACUCGGAAUUACUGGGCGUAAAGCGUGCGUAGGUGGUUCGUUAAGUCUGUCGUGAAAGCCCCGGGCUCAACCUGGGAAUGGCGAUGGAUACUGGCGGGCUAGAGUGCGGUAGAGGAGAGUGGAAUUCCCGGUGUAGCAGUGAAAUGCGUAGAGAUCGGGAGGAACACCAGUGGCGAAGGCGGCUCGCUGGGCCGGACCUGACGCUGAGACGCGAAGGCGUGGGGAGCGAACGGG
rnacentral:rRNA from 1 species